rnacentral:rRNA from 1 species
GGAUUAGAUACCCUAUUAUUGUUGAUGUAAAUUAUUUUAACUUUAUUAUUAUUUGUUAUGGUCUUGAAAUUUAAAGAAUUUGGCGGUAUUUUAGUCUUUUUAGAGGAAUCUGUUUCGUUAUCGAUGGUCCGCGUUGAACCUUACUUAUAUUUGUUUAGUAUGUAUAUCGCCGUUGUUGAGGAUCUUAUUUGAGUUUAUUUAAUUUUCUUUUUUUUUAUUUUAAUUUAUUUCAGGUCAAGGUGCAGCAUUUGUAUAUAUAUAAGUGUUAAAAUGGAUUACAAUAUUUUUAUAGUAAAUGGAUUAUUGACUGGAACAUGUUGUUAUGAAGGUGGAUUUAAUAGUAAUUUUUUGUAGAUUGUUAUUUUGGAUUUGAGCUCUAUUAAUAUGUACACAUCGCCCGUCGCUCUCGUUUUUAUUAAGAUGAGAUAAGUC